rnacentral:rRNA from 1 species
UACGUAGGGUGCGAGCGUUAUCCGGAUUCACUGGGUUUAAAGGGUGCGUAGGCGGGUAAGUAAGUCCGUGGUGAAAUCUCUGAGCUUAACUCCGAAACUGCCGUGGAUACUAUUUGCCUUGAAUAUUGUGGAGGUGAGCGGAAUAUGUCAUGUAGCGGUGAAAUGCUUAGAUAUGACAUAGAACACCAAGUGCGAAGGCAGCUCACUACACAAUCAUUGACGCUGAGGCACGAAAGCGUGGGGAGCAAACAGG